GACGAACGCUGGCGGCGCGCUUAACACAUGCAAGUCGAACGGAAAGGCCUGCUUUCCCUUGUGGUUUGCGGGUACUCGAGUGGCGAACGGGUGAGUAACACGUGAGUGAUCUGCCCCCAACUUGGGUAUAAGCCUGGGAAACUGGGUCUAAUUCCCGAUAGGACUGCAGGGUGGAGCCUGUGGUGGAAAACGAUUUUCUAGUGGUUGGGGAUGAGCUCGCGGACUAUCAGCUUGUUGGUGGGGGACUGUCCUACCAAGGCGGCGACGGGUAGCCGGCCUGGGGAGGGGGCCGGCCACAUUGGGGCUGCGGUACAGCCCCGACUCCUACGGGAGGCGGCAGUGUGGAACAUAGCGCAAGGGGCGGAAGCCUAGUGCAGCGACGCGGCGGGGGGGAUGACGGCCUUCGGGUUGUAAACUCCUUUCGACAGCGAGAAAGCCACCUGGUUGGAAGGGUGGUGACGGUAGUGGGAGAAGAAGCACCGGCUAACUACGUG
rnacentral:rRNA from 1 species